AACAAGCAGCCGUGUUCAAUUUCUGUUCUACGGAACUCUGUUUCAAACUCCUGUCCUUAAACAUCUAAAUCUCUUAUUUCUUAUUACUAACUCCCUUAUUUCUGCCUGCACUCACCUCCACCCCAGGUGUAGAAAAACUACAAGGGACGGGGCAGUACCUCAGGGCUGUUGGGGCUGGGGCUCAUUACAUCUCUGAGUCUCAAAGGACUGAAGGGCUUGAGCAGUUGCUGAAACCUGAGGCUAUGGGAGAAGCUGCCUUAAAAAACUGUGACAUUUGCUAAGGGGAAGGACCAACUUCUAGUAGUUGCGGGGAGAGAGCUGGAGGAUAAAUACCCCAACCUCACUGUCCUUCUUCCUCCCCUGUGGCCAAACCCGACUUGUCAGCUUCCUGGGGCCCAGAACGGGUAGAGAAGGGUAGAGAGUGGGUCUGGAAGAGCAAACGGAUGCUACCAAACACAAUGGAUCUUUACGGAACACUUGCUGCUUUAAGACAGCCUGCUAAAUGGAGUGAAGGCACUCAGAAAUAAGCUCAACACAUAUCCUGCCCUCCUGGACCUUUUGGACCAGUGGAUUGGGAGCGGCGUGAGAACAAGAUCCACAAAUGAGUCAUCACUGUGUUCCCUCCAACACUGAGCACCAAGCCUUGCACUUAGGAGGUGUGCUGGAUUAUCAGGAGUUACCUCAGUAUCACUGCCACCCCGUUAAGGUCACCCCGCUGAGAACUAUGGUUCCCAGAAUCCUGUUGCAGUGUGAGCCAUCUGCACAAAUGUUCGAAGAGAAGGGGCUGUUGUUUUCCGGAGGCGGUUGCAAGCAGAUGUUUGACGCAGCUUCCAGGUGAGCUCCCAGAGAAGAACGUUUGCCCUGAGUUAAUCCUGCAGGCUGAGGGAUUGGACGGAGCCUCCCACAGUUGCUUAAUAUGCAAGGAGUCUUGUGUGCCAGCUCUGGAGAAACUUUGACGCUAUCACUGACAGCCUCACAGACCUUGGAUUCUCCCACCCUUCCAACCAUUGUGUAAUCUUCUAAUUCCCUGCAUUAAAAAUAUUCAUACUUGAAAUAUAUUGAGUGCUGUCUGUUUUCAUGUCCAAACCCUGAACUAAUUGUUUAAUAAAUAUUUGCAGAAUGAAUGAAAAGGAAUUCUACUGGAUUGAAAAAUCAGGAGACAUUCCAUUUAUAUUUAUUGUUCAAAGCAAAAGAAAGUCACAUCUGUUGUGAGUUGAUUAUGUGGCAGGCAAUUUCCUGUGCAUUAUUUACCACCUCUCUAUAAUUCUGACAGAUGA
rnacentral:lncRNA from 1 species